rnacentral:misc_RNA from 1 species
GAUGAAGAACGUAGCGAAAUGCGAUACGUAAUGUGAAUUGCAGAUCUCUCAGUGAACCAUCGAAUUUUUGAACGCACAUUGCGCCCUCUGGUAUUCCGGGGGGCAUGCCUGUCCGAGCGUCAUUGCAAACCCUCAAGCCCGGCUUGUGUGAUGGGUCCCGCGUCCGCCUUCCGGGGCGGACGGGCCCGAAAUGCAGUGGCGGCGUCGCGGUAAUCCGAUCAGCCAGAGCGUAUGGGGACAUCUCGUCACACGCUUCAGGUGCGGACCGGCGCCCGCCCGACACCAAAUCUCACACCAAGGUUUGACCUCGGAUCAGGUAGGGAUACCCGCUGAACUUAAGCAUAUCAAUAAGCGGAGGA